AAAAUAAGUUAUUAUUAUAAUUCCUGUAUCAAGAUAAUCGUUUAUUAUCCAUGCUAUAAUUGUAUUGAAUGAAGACUUAGAUACAUGUGUGGAUACAUAGACAAAACACUGUCCCUAGCAAGCCUCUAGUUGGCUAGCCAGUUGAUCAAGGAUAGUCAGGGUCUUCGGACUAUGUACAAGGUGUUGUUGCUUGAUAACUGGAUCACAUCAUUGGGUGAAUCAUGUGAUGG
rnacentral:lncRNA from 1 species